rnacentral:rRNA from 1 species
UACGUAGGGUGCGAGCGUUUAAUCGGAAUUACUGGGCGUAAAGCGUGCGCAGGCGGUUUUGUAAGCCAGAUGUGAAAUCCCCGGGCUUAACCUGGGAAUGGCAUUUGGGACUGCAAGGCUUGAGUGCGGCAGAGGAGACUGGAAUUCCUGGUGUAGGCAGUGAAAUGCGUAGAUAUCAGGAGGAACACCGGAUGGCGAAGGCAGGUCUCUGGGCCGAUACUGACGCUGAGGAGCGAAAGCGUGGGGAGCAAACAGG